rnacentral:rRNA from 1 species
UCGACCUGAGCUCAGCAAGAACACCCGCUGAACUUAAGCAUAUCAAUAAGCGGAGGAA